rnacentral:lncRNA from 10 species
GCCAGAGGCACUUUCUAUGGAGUAUUGACUAAGAGAACAAGAAUGAAAUUGAAAGACGGGGAAGCUAUCAGUGAAAAUACACUGUUCCUGGGCCCGAAACUAACUGGAUAUAUGGAUGCAAGCAAAAUCUUUGGCCAAGGACAUGAGUAUCCUGCAGAAGCCAGGUCUUUCAUCAAAGAGUUCAACACACAUUGGCCUAUGAGUCAGAGAAACUGAAGGAGGAUACAAGGCAAGGUAGAGCAAUUGCAGACACGGCUGCUGCUUCACACCAAUGAGGACCCAGCAUUCAAGGCACC